GGCGGAGUGACCGAGCGGUUCAGGUGGGAGUCUGCAAAACUCUUUACAAUGGUUCGAAUCCAUUCUCACGCCU
rnacentral:tRNA from 1 species